AUAGCGUAUAUUAAAGUUGUUGAGGUUAAAAAGCUCGUAGUUGAACCUUGGGCCUAGCCGGCCGGUCCGCCUCACCGCGUGCACUGGCUCGGUUGGGCCUUUCUUUCUGGAGAACCCCAUGUCCUUCACUGGGUGUGGUGGGGAACCAGGACUUUUACCGUGAACAAAUCAGAUCGCUUAAAGAAGGCCUAUGCUCGAAUGUAUUAGCAUGGAAUAAUGGAAUAGGACGUGUGGUUCUAUUUUGUUGGUUUGAGGACCAAAGUAAUGAUUAAUAGGGCCAGUCGGGGGCAUUAGUAUUCUAUAGUCAGAGGUGAAAUUCUUGGAUUUUUUGAAGACUAACUACUG
rnacentral:rRNA from 1 species